rnacentral:ncRNA from 1 species
CUAUUGAAUCUACAGACGAACUAGAGACAACUUGAUGAACUAAAACAUCUCAAUAGCUAGAGAAUAAGAAUACAAAAGUGAUUCUCGUAGAGUAGCGUAGCAACGAGUGAAAUAUGGAAGUGAGUUGAAAAAUAAAGUUGUGUGGGAGAUCAAUACAACGAAGUGUUGCUUAGUAAAGCAAUAGAGUGUUGCAUUCUAGUUGGCAAAAGCUAAUAGUCGAAAGGAUCACUACCUUAUGUUUUGACCAAAAUAACAUGUGGUACAUAGAAUCUCAUGUGAGUCGAUAAGGACCACCUUGCAAAACUAAAUAUUCUAGGGGAUCCAUAGUGAAGUGAUAAAUGAGGGAAUGGCGAAAAGAACUCCAAUUGGAGAGUGAAA